rnacentral:rRNA from 1 species
AAUAAACGCUGGCGGCGUGCCUAACACAUGCAAGUCGCACGAGAAAGGCUUAACUUCGGUUGGCCGAGUAAAGUGGCGCACGGGUGAGUAACGCGUAGGCAACCUGCCCUCGUGUUCGGGACAACAGUGCGAAAGCGCUGCUAAUACCGGAUACGCCCCCGGGACGGGAGUUUCGGGGUGAAAGUCGGCCUCUCUAAAGAAGCCGGCGCACGGGGAUGGGCCUGCGUCCUAUCAGCUAGUUGGUGGGGUAACGGCCUACCAAGGCAUCUACGGGUAGCUGGUCUGAGAGGAUGAUCAGCCACACUGGCACUGGAACACGGGCCAGACUCCUACGGGAGGCAGCAGUGAGGAAUUUUGCGCAAUGGCCGCAAGGCUGACGCAGCAACGCCGCGUGGGUGAAGAAGGCCUUCGGGUCGUAAAGCUCUGUCGGGUGGGAAGAACCGCCUGUUGGUGACAAGCCGGCAGGUCUGACGGUACCACCAGAGGAAGCACCGGCUAACUCCGUGCCAGCAGCCGCGGUAAUACGGAGGGUGCGAGCGUUAUUCGGAAUUAUUGGGCGUAAAGCGCGUGCAGGCGGCCAGACAAGUCUGAUGUGAAAGCCCCGGGCUUAACCCGGGAAGUGCAUUGGAAACUGUCUGGCUUGAGUACUGGAGAGGAAGGGGGAAUUCCCGGUGUAGAGGUGAAAUUCGUAGAGAUCGGGAGGAACACCAGUGGCGAAGGCGCCCUUCUGGACGGUUACUGACGCUGAGACGCGAAAGCGUGGGGAGCAAACAGGAUUAGAUACCCUGGUAGUCCACGCUGUAAACGAUGAGCACUAGGUGUAGCGGGUACUCAUUCCUGCUGUGCCGUAGCUAACGCGUUAAGUGCUCCGCCUGGGGACUACGGUCGCAAGACUAA